rnacentral:lncRNA from 1 species
GGUGUCUUCUAUUUCAUUGCUCGAAAUUGAUCUGUUGAACUUGUAUCCUGAUUCAUUCUGGGCAAAUCAUAUGACCAUAGAAAUCUGUUGAUCCCUUCGAGAUUUUCUAUUUUACUAGAGUACAAAUUUUCAAAAUAAUUUCUGAUUAUCUUCUGUAUUUCUGUAGUGUCUGUUGUGAUGUUUCCUUUUCAUCUCAUAUGUUAUUGAUUUUGAGUUUUCUCUCUCCUUCUCUUCAUUAGCAUAGCUAAGGGUCUGUCAAUUUUAUUUAUUCCUUCAAAGAACCAACUUUUUGUUUUGUCAAUUAUUUCAGUUGUUUCAAUUUUAUUGAUUUUAGCUCUGAUUUUAAUUAUUUCUUCUGCUGCUUUUGGUGUUGAUUUGUUCUUCUUUUUCUAGGGCUUUGAGUUGUAAUGUUAAGUCAUUUAUUUGUUGACUUUUUCUUCUUUUAAGGAAUGAACUCCAUGCAAUGAACUUUUCUCUUAGUACUGCCUUCAUCAUGUCCCAGAUUUUGAUGUUUUUUCAGUGUUUUCAUUUACCUCUAGAAUAUUUUAAUCUCCUCUUUGAUGUCUUUUGUAACCCAUUGUUCAUUCAAUAGCAUAUUAUUUAGUUUCCAGGUAUUUGAGUAGCUUCUAGUUUUUAUUUUAUCAUUGAUUUCUAAUCUCAUUUCAUUAUGAUCUAAUAGAAUGCAGAGUAAUGUCUCUACUUUUUUGUAUUUGCUAAGAGUUGCUUUGUGGCAUAUGGUCCAUUUUAAAGAGAAUCCAUGUGCUGCUGAGAAGAAAGUAUAUUCACUUGUUGAUGGAUGAAAUAUUCCAUAUAUAUCUGUUAAGUCUAAGUUAUUAAUUGUAUUACUGAGUUCUAUAGUUUCUUUGUUUAGCUUUCAUUUGAAAGAUCUAUCCAGUGGUGAAAUAGUUCUGUUAAAGUCACCCAGAAUUAUUGUAUUGUGGUCUAUUUGACUCUUGAACUUGAGAAGAGUUUGUUUGAUGAAUGUAGAUGUUCCAUUGUUUGUCAUAUAUAUAUUUAUAAUUGUUAAGUCUUGUUGGUGGAUGGUUCCCUUAAGCAGUAUGAAAUAUAUCCCUUUUAAUUAACUUUGGC